AGCGCAGGCGGGAGAACAAGUUGGAAGUGAAAUCCAUGGGCUCAACCCAUGAACUGCUUUCAAAACUGUUUUUCUUGAGUAGUGCAGAGGUAGGCGGAAUUCCCGGUGUAGCGGUGGAAUGCGUAGAUAUCGGGAGGAACACCAGUGGCGAAGGCGGCCUACUGGGCGCCAACUGACGCUGAGGCUCGAAAGUGUGGGUAGCAAACA
rnacentral:rRNA from 1 species